rnacentral:rRNA from 1 species
CCUACGGGGGGCUGCAGUGGGGAAUAUUGGACAAUGGGGGCAACCCUGAUCCAGCCAUGCCGCGUGUGUGAAGAAGGCCCUCGGGUUGUAAAGCACUUUCAGUGAGGAAGAACGCCUGGUGGUUAAUACCCAGCAGGAAAGACAUCACUCACAGAAGAAGCACCGGCUAACUCCGUGCCAGCAGCCGCGGUAAUACGGAGGGUGCGAGCGUUAAUCGGAAUUACUGGGCGUAAAGCGCGCGUAGGUGGCUUGAUAAGCCGGUUGUGAAAGCCCCGGGCUCAACCUGGGAACGGCAUCCGGAACUGUCAAGCUAGAGUGCAGGAGAGGAAGGUAGAAUUCCCGGUGUAGCGGUGAAAUGCGUAGAGAUCGGGAGGAAUACCAGUGGCGAAGGCGGCCUUCUGGACUGACACUGACACUGAGGUGCGAAAGCGUGGGUAGCAAACAGGAUUAGAUACCCUUGUAGUC